rnacentral:rRNA from 1 species
ACGCUGACAGAAUGCUUAACACAUGCAAGUCUACUUGAAUUUGGGUUUUUAACUUAGGUUUGGGUGGCGGACGGGUGAGUAACGCGUAAAGAACUUGCCUCACAGCUAGGGACAACAUUUAGAAAUGAAUGCUAAUACCUAAUAUUAUGAUAAUAGGGCAUCCUAUAAUUAUGAAAGCUAUAUGCGCUGUGAGAGAGCUUUGCGUCCCAUUAGCUAGUUGGAGAGGUAACAGCUCACCAAGGCGAUGAUGGGUAGCCGGCCUGAGAGGGUGAUCGGCCACAAGGGGACUGAGACACGGCCCUUACUCCUACGGGAGGCAGCAGUGGGGAAUAUUGGACAAUGGACCGAGAGUCUGAUCCAGCAAUUCUGUGUGCACGAUGAAGUUUUUCGGAAUGUAAAGUGCUUUCAGUUGGGAAGAAAGAAAUGACGGUACCAACAGAAGAAGUGACGGCUAAAUACGUGCCAGCAGCCGCGGUAAUACGUAUGUCACGAGCGUUAUCCGGAUUUAUUGGGCGUAAAGCGCGUCUAGGUGGUUAUAUAAGUCUGAUGUGAAAAUGCAGGGCUCAACUCUGUAUUGCGUUGGAAACUGUAUAACUAGAGUACUGGAGAGGUAAGCGGAACUACAAGUGUAGAGGUGAAAUUCGUAGAUAUUUGUAGGAAUGCCGAUGGGGAAGCCAGCUUACUGGACAGAUACUGACGCUGAAGCGCGAAAGCGUGGGUAGCAAACAGGAUUAGAUACCCUGGUAGUCCACGCUGUAAACGAUGAUUACUAGGUGUUGGGGGUCGAACCUCAGCGCCCAAGCAAACGCGAUAAGUAAUCCGCCUGGGGAGUACGUACGCAAGUAUGAAACUCAAAGGAAUUGACGGGGACCCGCACAAGCGGUGGAGCAUGUGGUUUAAUUCGACGCAA